rnacentral:rRNA from 1 species
CCUACGGGAGGCAGCAGUGAGGAAUAUUGGUCAAUGGGCUGACGCCUGAACCAGCCAAGUCGCGUGAGGGAAGACUGCCCUAUGGGUUGUAAACCUCUUUUGUCAGGGAGCAACGCCGGCUACGUGUAGCCGGACUGAGAGUACCUGAAGAAAAAGCAUCGGCUAACUCCGUGCCAGCAGCCGCGGUAAUACGGAGGAUGUGAGCGUUAUCCGGAUUUAUUGGGUUUAAAGGGUGCGUAGGCGGAAUGCCAAGUCAGCGGUAAAAUCGCGGGGCUCAACCUCGCUACGCCGUUGAAACUGGCGGUCUUGAGUGGGCGAGAAGUAUGCGGAAUGCGUGGUGUAGCGGUGAAAUGCAUAGAUAUCACGCAGAACUCCGAUUGCGAAGGCAGCAUACCGGCGCCCAACUGACGCUGAAGCACGAAAGCGUGGGUAUCGAACAGGAUUAGAUACCCGAGUAGUC